rnacentral:lncRNA from 1 species
CUGGCUCUCUCCGGUCUUGCGCGGCGCGCACCAGUCAACCCGGAGCCACGGUAGCGCAAGUACUGUGUUCGUCACGUUCAAGGGACAGUUACAUCAGAAACGGCACGGCUCUCUUUUUACCGGUCUUUAAAUAACGUUCGUGUGCAAAGUGUGAGGUUUCCUCUCUCGCGACCGAUGUAACGACACGCGGCCAGAUCGUAUCCAACGUUUGGAGAACGUGUUACGGAGACUUAUAUAUAUAUAUAUACAUAUACAUAUAUACAUAUACACGAUCGAAUCGAGUGCUUUAAAUUGUCGUGCCUAUACGCGUGUAUAAUUAUAUAUUAGAGUUAUCUAAGGAAGGAAAGAAGAUUCUAUGUACACACCAAUGUAUAUAUAUAUAUAUAUGUAUGUAUGUAUGUAUAUACGUGUAAGAUAUAAUUAAAGGGUAAGGGGGAAGAAAAAAAAAGUAAAUCGCGAGUGGUGAGUGAGACACGUUGGACGAGACGGGGGUUGAAAUCGGCCGUGGAUAGUGGAGAACCGAUGGCACGCGAGACAACGGAGUCAUCCCCUUUGUCGGCUCGGCUCGAUCGCGGACUCAGGGAUCCUCGUGCGUGGAAAGUCGGAGGGAUGGGGUCGUGACUGUCCCCGAGUGUCAGUCGACGCCCCAACACGACCGUCGACGCUCGGUCGCGGAAGAGGAAGGAAGGGAUCCUGUUCGAAAUCCGUUUUAGGGAACGGUUUUGGCCACAGCGCGGAUCGGACACAGCGUGCGGAUCUCGAGAGUCGUAGAGAGAGUCGCGCGGCGCAAGUGGAGGAGGGGAAGGAGAAGAAGGAAGAAAAAAAGAAGUAUCGACGUUUCCACGGCGCUGGAGAGAGAGAGAGAAAGAGAGAGAAAGAGAGAGAGAGAGAGUGUUGUCUCACCCCCUCGCGUGGCGGAUCACCCGUGCUUUGGAAGCGUGCAACGAACGAACGAGCGUGUGGUGUGCAUCGAGCGGUAUCCCGUGGCCCGGUCUCCACCAGUGAAAGUGAACGAUGCGUCGAGACCACCGGCCUCGACACACACGCCGCUAUUGUGACAGGGUUGAAUUUCUGUGAUAAGGGGGAGAGAGAGAAAAAAGAAAGGAUCGAUUUCGUCAGGUGAAUUUGGAAUCGAAGGGGAUAUAUGUAUAUAUAUGUAUGUGUGUAUAUAUAUAUAUAUAUCCGUGCAUCCGUGGUUGGCAUCUCUGGAGGGCAGCUUGUGCGUAGAGUGAGCAUCUUCGAGACGCCUGUGGCGCCAUGUCACGCGAGGUGCCGGCAACGAAAGCGGCAAAGAAAGCAAGGGACACGAUCGUAACGUGGACGACAACGAGUCGGCACGGUGUUCUUCGGCUUCGCGGCGAUUAAGGCCUGGGCCGGCCGGUCGGUAGGACGUUCAUUAGCCAAGGUGCUGACUAUACUAAUAACAGUAGAGAGGUGAUACGCGGUAAACCGUGUCACGCAGUGGCGUAGGUCGAGUCGGGGUGGCGUGGAGGAGGAGGAAGAGGAGGUGGAGACGGAAGUGGACGAUGACGAUGGACACGGUGUUAACGUAAUACCGGUGAAAAGAGAGGAGAGAGGACGCGUUUUGUUGUUGCUGUUGUUGUUGCUCGUACGCUUGAUGAUCGGUUCGCGAUACCGAAAGUGAUACAUCUCUAUAUAUUUAUCUAUAAUAAUAAUAAUAAUAAUAAUAAUAAUAAUAAUAAUAAUA